rnacentral:rRNA from 1 species
GAUGAACGCUGGCGGCGUGCCUAAUACAUGCAAGUCGAGCGAACAGACGAGGAGCUUGCUCCUUCGACGUUAGCGGCGGACGGGUGAGUAACACGUAGGUAACCUACCUAUAAGACUGGGAUAACUUCGGGAAACCGGAGCUAAUACCGGAUAAUAUUUCGAACCGCAGGGUUCGAUAGUGAAAGAUGGCUUUGCUAUCACUUAUAGAGGGACCUGCGCCGUAUUAGCUAGUUGGUAAGGUAACGGCUUACCAAGGCAACGAUACGUAGCCGACCUGAGAGGGUGAUCGGCCACACUGGAACUGAGACACGGUCCAGACUCCUACGGGGGCCAGCAGUAGGGAAUCUUCCGCAAUGGGCGAAAGCCUGACGGAGCAACGCCGCGUGAGUGAUGAAGGUCUUCGGAUCGUAAAACUCUGUUAUUAGGGAAGAACAAACGUGUAAGUAACUGAGCACGUCUUGACGGUACCUAAUCAGAAAGCCACGGCUAACUCCGUG